rnacentral:rRNA from 1 species
ACACGUGCUACAAUGGACGGUACAAAGAGCUGCAAGACCGCGAGGUGGAGCUAAUCUCAUAAAACCGUUCUCAGUUCGGAUUGUAGGCUGCAACUCGCCUACAUGAAGCUGGAAUCGCUAGUAAUCGCGGAUCAGCAUGCCGCGGUGAAUACGUUCCCGGGCCUUGUACACACCGCCCGUCACACCACGAGAGUUUGUAACACCCGAAGUCGGUGGGGUAACCUUUUUGGAGCCAGCCGCCUAAGGUGGGACAGAUGAUUGGGGUGAAGUCGUAACAAGGUAAAUCUCUAG